rnacentral:rRNA from 1 species
AGCGAACGCUAGCGGCAGGCCUAACACAUGCAAGUCGAACGAACCUUUCGGGGUUAGUGGCGGACGGGUGAGUAACACGUGGGAACGUGCCUUUAGGUUCGGAAUAACUCAGGGAAACUUGUGCUAAUACCGAAUGUGCCCUUCGGGGGAAAGAUUAAUCGCCUUUAGAGCGGCCCGCGUCUGAUUAGCUAGUUGGUUGAGGUAAUGGCUCACCAAGGCGACGAUCAGUAGCUGGUCUGAGAGGAUGAUCAGCCACAUUGGGACUGAGACACGGCCCAAACUCCUACGGGAGGCAGCAGUGGGGAAUCUUGCGCAAUGGGCGAAAGCCUGACGCAGCCAUGCCGCGUGAAUGAUGAAGGUCUUAGGAUUGUAAAAUUCUUUCACCGGGGACGAUAAUGACGGUACCCGGAGAAGAAGCCCCGGCUAACUUCGUG